UGGGCUUCAACAACUCACCUCUUUAACUUCACUUUCUAUCAUAUGGUGUCGUAACUUGCAGACAAUUACAGAAAAAGGGCUUCCGUCCUCUCUUCAAAACUUUGAGUUGUCUGUCUGUCCUUUGCUGGAGAAAAAGUGCGAGAGGGAGAAAGGGGAGUAUUGGAACAAGAUUGCUCACAUCCCCACCAUUACCAUCAAUAUAAGGCGUAUAUAAAUUAACGAGAACCAGAUACUAGGGGAGUUAUGAACGUGGCUUUCUUUGAUAGUAGCAGAAACAAGUAUGCCUGCCAUAUGUGUGUAUGCGUAAGAUCAUGCAAGCCCGGCUUUGACAAAAACAUCAUGUUCUGAUCAGGGGUGUAAGCCUCUGCAGUCUUGGAUAGACCAUUUUCCAUAUUGGUCAUUGAUUUGACAAGAGUAAACGGCUCCAUGUUCCUCAAGAAUAGCUUUCAAAUCUUUUGUUACAAAGGUGGCACAAAAUGAUUGGUGAAGUGCCGAGUCAGCAAAGACGAGCCAAUAGGAAAAUGACAGAAAGUCAGUUAUUGUUGGUUGAGGGUCAAAUAUUGGACUUGUUGCCAUGGCUAAAAGAAAGUAUAAUUUGCAAUACAUUUAGGAUUUGGGGAUGAACAAUCACUUAUGUGACAUCUUAGUCUUGGUUUUCUUGGCAAUAAGUUUUGGAAAUUUGAGAAAGAACUCAAGAACUAAUUUC